AUUAUCUAUCUGGCAUUUAAAAUUGGAUCAGACGUAGAUUAGCACGAUGAAAGCAGAGAUAGUAGGAUGUUUUCAUAACUAACGAGGCACAAUGAAGAUAUUUUAUUUGAAAUAUGGAAUUUGGAAAUUCUGUAGAAAAAAAAACGGUUUUUGGUUCCAAA